rnacentral:rRNA from 1 species
CCAAUAGCGUAUAUUAAAGUUGUUGCAGUUAAAAAGCUCGUAGUUGAAUUUCGGGAUCGAAUUGUUGGUCGUGCUUCGGUACGUACUGGCAUUAUCGGUUUCUACCUUCUGAAGAACCGCGAUGUCAUUAAUUUGGUGUCGUGGGGAAUCAGGACUGUUACUUUGAAAAAAUUAGAGUGUUUAAAGCAGGCUUACGCUUGAAUACAUUAGCAUGGAAUAAUGAAAUAGGACGUUUGAUUCUAUUUUGUUGGUUUCUAGGAUCGACGUAAUGAUUAAUAGGGAUAGUUGGGGGCAUUAGUAUUCAAUUGUCAGAGGUGAAAUUCUUGGAUUUAUUGAAGACUAACUACUGCGAAAGCAUUUGCCAAGGAUGUUUUCAUUAAUCAAGAACGAAAGUUAGGGGAUCGAAGACGAUCAGAUACCGUCGUAGUCUUAACCAUAAACUAUGCCGACUAGGGAUCGGAUGAUGUUAAUUUUUUAAUGACUCAUUCGGCGCCUUACG